AGCCGUCCCUGAAACGCUGUUCCAAUAACCGGGCCAGGCAUCUGCCAGAAGCUGGUGUCAGCACUUUGCACGCUUUAUGCCGGGACCUUUGUUGUGCAAGUUCCCGUCAAAGCCUUGAUGGAGACGCUGCGGGAAGUGUUGAGACAUGGCCGGACAUUUUCCUACUGACCACCUUUCCACAUCUAGUCUGUCAGCCUGCAGAGAUGACACAGUGAAUGUGGAAUCCUCAGGGGCAAAUGGUUCAAGAGCCCUACAGUGGACAUGACCUUUUGGGAACAUGGCUAAACCUGUCCUGGUAUCACACAUAUUUUCUCCUGUGUCACACCUGCGCAUCUGUGUGGGCUGAGGUCUCCUUCAUUGAACAGAAAGUCUUCAUUUCAAUGUGAUCACUAGGAUCUCUGCAGAGAUGCUGGGAGAACAAAAGACGACUUGGCCCCUGGCUUCCCUGGGCUUGCAGACACAGCUUGUCAGCUUAGCCAUCAGCAGGGCCUGUGCUAAGCAGCCCCACCCGGUGCUGGACACAUCCAACAUAUCCGUUCCUCACUCAGAAUGCAGGAGAAUUAGGAUAUU